GAUAAUGCAAUAUAUUUUUUUCUCUGUCUGGUUUACUUAAUUUAUCAUAAUGUCCUCCAGGCUCAUCCAUAUUGUGGCAAAUGACAAGAUCUCCUUCUUUAUUAGGCCUGAAUAAUAUCCCAUUGUAUGUAUCAUCAAAUGUUGGUAUAUUU